GAGAGUAAAUUUUUUUUUACUGUCUUAAAUUUGCUUUAAGCAGGGAAACAAUCACCAUUUAACAUUACCUUUUGUUCAACUUUGCAUUGUUGCAAAGACAGCUGAAAUCCAACUAGACUAUCCAGAAGAAAUGGUUCCCAGACUGCCUGAAUGACAUAUCUCUAUGCUUUUUUGAAGCCCUUAAUUAACAGGAGCUGCUGUGGGUACAGCAUGCUGUGGUGCUGCUCGCUCUUACGGCCGACCUCAUCGCCUCUCGAGCUUUAGGAUGAAGACGCAUAAACUGAGAGAAGGCAGAUGCAGCGUGAUUCCAAACAAAGUCAGGGGGAAGGAUGCAAACAGCACAAGAUGGAUCCAACUUCACUCCACAUUGCACCAAAUGAAGCAUGAAGGCAUUUCCUCAAGCACCUGCCUUUGACAUCUAAACUAAAAGUCUGCAACACUCAAGAGAAGACAACAUCUAUCUUCACGGGACUGAUGGUAACCAAAACCAAUUUCUUUCAAGUAGGCAAAAUUCCGCUUCAACAUACAGUAAAAGCAAGUAAGAACCACAACCCACCUAGGCUGGAGCCCAUCCCAGAUGACUACGGGCGAGAGGCGGGGUACGCCCUUGGACUGGUCGUCGGUCAGUCGCAGAGCUGACACGCAACGAAAGACAACGACAAACGCUCACACCUGGGGGCAAUGUAGAGCAGCCAAUUAACCUAAUGUGCAUGUUUUUGGGACUGCGGGAGGAAGUCGGAGUACCUGAAGAAAACCCACGCAGGCACCAGGAGGGCAUACAAACUCCACACAGAAGGGCCCAGACUGGGACCCUGAAAUCAGAGAUUUGUUUUCCUAGAAGGCUACAAAUGACCAAUCAGUUACCAAAAUAGCUCUAAAUAAUACAUGAGAGGACCAAAUGGGGCUGGUUUUACCUUUGACACACAUGGGAGACCAUCAAGGAACUAUAAGACCACAUUUGUGCUGUGCUUCCUCUAAGAACAACAAUAUGUGUAAAUGCGGUGACUCCGGUUCUCCUUUCUACUGUGAACAGGGAACUCUAAUGCAGCAUCUGUUGCAAUGACAUCUGUUUGACAUGGUUCUGCUUGGUGUUCUGUCCAGUCCGUCAUUAGGUGGUAUUAAAGCGGAGAUUACUAUUAAGUGGAGAUUAAAAUUAAGUGGGAAAAGAGAUGUAAACUUUGUCUGCCAUCAGCCCGUGGCUUCCGCAGUUCAACCUCAGCUUAGUCUCACAGGUGGACUUUAUGUGCGGAUUUAUACCAUUUGAAUUAUGAAAUUAAGAUCGAUUUAAGCAAAAAAUGAAAAAGCCCGACAGGAAGUCAACUCUUGGAGGUGUAUGAUGUGUAUGUGUAUGGCUAAACUUGGAACAACGAACUGUACUUUUAAAACUUUCGUAGCCUAAAACUAGCCGUGCGGCGAGGGAAUGUAGGGAAGCGAGCCGGCAGAGUGGAUACAGUACAAGUACACUGGGUCUCAGUGCUCCUACAUGUCACUGUGAUUACAUUUUGUUCUCACUGAGCCUGGACGGGAGCGACAGCCACUGAGAUUUCCAAUUUGAAAAGCAAGCUUAUAGGCUUGCGUAACAUCCUGUGCUUUUUUACCUCAUCAGAGAUGGCAGCAAGAGAAGACCUCUAACGGUACAACUGGUAUCCAAGCGGUACAGUGUGUUCUCAGUCAUAAUCACAUUAAUAAGCCAGUGAUAGCAUGUUUUUUUAAUUCACAUGACAGCAAGGUGACAUGACAUGCAUAUCGAAGGGUGGGAAACUAUCAACUAUUUUGAUGUUGGUUAUCAUUGACCAAAAUGCAGUGCUGUGACAGGUAAUGCAGGUGUUCCCUGCAGCUGGUUUGUCAUGGCGACAGAGCCAGCCAAUCUAGACAGCCAGGCUCCUUAUUCCUGCGUUUCCCCGCACUCAUCAGCAUUCUCAUCAUUUCAUCAAAUAGACAGACUGCUCCUUUAUGGUCCACUCUAAGUCCAAUUAAUAUGAUCAAAGGCUACAGUUUAAUUCUUUUGAAAUUGGAUAAACUCUGAGUGUGGGUCUCCACCUGUGUCUUCAUUAAUUAUUAUUUCAAUUUGGAGUUGAGGCUCACAUAAAAUGUAAUCAGAUGAGUUUAAUUCAUUUUUAGGACAUGUAUUUAUUUAUGAUAAAUUCCAAAUUAGUUUUAAUUUUUUUUUUGCAAGAUCCAAAAAGAAAAAAUUCUUGAGCAAAAUGUUCUUUCAGAUUUCAGUCCUCAAGUUUGUCCCAACAGAGUCAGCUUGAUUAUGUUUUUCAUUUUGUUUCACGUUAUUGUGAAAUAACUGCACACAAAAUUAAAAAUAAAUAAAAAUAACCCUGCAUGUGAAUUGCUGUUUUUGGAUCAGUUCAGUGAACAAAGAACAAGCUCAAAAGUGUAACGGCUGUCGGCCCACAAAGCCGUCUGGUUCCUCAAUAAAAGCCACAAAUAAGCAACACAUACAAACCAAUGGUGGAAAAGCUCUCAAAAAAAAAAGACAAAUCUGUUAUUACCAUCAAUACCAGGGGAUGUUCUGCUCCAUAUUAUAUGGUUCCAGUGUGAUACAUUCACACCU